UUGACCUCGGUCAGGUAGGAAACCCGUU
rnacentral:rRNA from 1 species